rnacentral:rRNA from 1 species
ACAUACGAGCAUAGGGUGUGGAAAACAGGGCUGCCCGUCCGCUCAGCCGUACUUGAGCCACACCGGUGAGUUAAUAGUUGGGUGGGUGACCACCAGCGAAUCCUCACUGUUGUAUGUG